GUAACAAGGUUUCCGUAGGUGAACCUGCGGAAGGAUCAUUAUCGAGUUUUUGAAUGUUGUUGUUGCUGGUCUUCUCGAGGACAUUGUGCACGCCCUGCUCAUUAGUUUCCACUUCAUACCCCUGUGCACCUUUGACUAGAUUUGGGUUUGACGGUUAUCGCAAAUUUGGUUUUUUUUCGUUAAUUGAAAGCGCAUCUUUGGUUUCCUUAGAACGACUUCUAUACUAUACCACACACUCUUUGAAAUGUAUGUUUUAUAAUGUAAGGGUUUAUAAUGACAAGGCCAUGAGCCUUAUAGAUCUUAUAUACAACUUUCAGCAACGGAUCUCUUGGCUCUCGCAUCGAUGAAGAACGCAGCGAAAUGCGAUAAGUAAUGUGAAUUGCAGAAUUCAGUGAAUCAUCGAAUCUUUGAACGCACCUUGCGCUCCUUUGGUAUUCCAGAGGAGCAUGCCUGUUUGAGUGUCAUUAAAUUCUUCAAACUCUAUGCAACCUUUAUUGUUGUAGCUGUUGUAGGCUUGGACUUGGAGGGCUUGUUGGCUUCUUUCUUUGAAGUCGGCUCCUCUUAAAUGCAUUAGCUUGACUUUGUUGCGGCUCUGCUGUCAUGGUGUGAUAAAUUGUCUACGCCGUAGACGCGUGCAAUUCGUUUGGAUGAGUUGUCCAGCUUUCUAAUCGUCUUCAAGGGACAAGUUAUUUAUGACACUUUGACCUCAAAUCAGGUAGGACUACCCGCUGAACUUAAGCAUAUCAAAUAAGCGGAGGAAAAAGAAACUAAAACCAAGGGCAUUCCCCUAGUAACUG
rnacentral:rRNA from 1 species